rnacentral:rRNA from 1 species
GUCUAUGGCCAUGCUACCCUGAACAAGCCCAAUCCCGUCUGAUCUCGGAAGCUAAGCAGGGUCAGGCCUGGUUAGUACUUGAAUGGGAGAUCACCUAGGAAGAUCAGCUACUGUAAGCG